AUCAUUUCUUGGCCUUUUAGCUAAGAUCAAGUGUAGUAUCUGUUCUUGCCAGUUUAAUAUCUGAUACAUCCUCUAUCUGAGAACAAUAUAUUAAAUGGAUUUUUGGAACAGGGAGGUGGAAUAGGAGCUUGCUCCAUCCACUGGUAUUGACCACUGGCAUCAGACCUGGUAUUGCAGUAACUCCAGGAAUGGAGAACAAAAA
rnacentral:snRNA from 1 species